AUCUACGGCCAUACCACCCUGAACACGCCCAAUCUCGUCUGAUCUCGGAAGCUAAGCAGGAUCGGGCCUGGUUAGUACUUGGAUGGAGAAUGAGGUUUCCUGGCCCAAAGUAGAAA
ensembl:rRNA 5S_rRNA 5S ribosomal RNA